GAUCUCUGACAGGUUAUGAGUGAAUUAACAUGAAAUAAAUCAAUGUGACAGCCUCAUUAAUCCACUUGUCAGAGAUGCAUCUCUACAUGGCAGUACUGGUGAGGGUAAUCACUGCACAACCCUUCUGGAGGAUCCUAUUCAUCCUGUUGCGUGGCAUUAUCAUUGUGGUUCCAUGAAGAGUGUUGAAGAGUGAGUGUUCCAGGAGCAGCAGGGUGGUGCAGCGGGAGAGUUGCUGCCUCACAGCGACAGAGACCCAGGUUCGAUCCUGACCUCGAGUGCUAUCAGAGUUUACACGUUCUCCCUGUGACCGCAUUCGCUUGCUCCAUUCGUGGUGCUGCAGUGUCCUCGGUGCAUUGCAGUUGCUGGGAAAAAUAGUUGCAUAUUAUACAACUUGAGAGGCAGGAUACACUGUGGUGUAGAUGUAAUGUCCAGACUAUGAGUGGGUAGAGGAACUCAAAAGAACAAAGCAAAGGACAUUUAUUGUCACAAUGACAUUUAUUGGUGCAGUGAAAUUUGAGUUACCAGGCAGCACACAAAUAAGAUAAACACAACACUUGAGAAUUUAACAUAAAACAUAAAAAACAUCCCCUCACAGCGGAAUCAGCGUUUCCCACAGUGAGGGAAGGCACCAAAAUUCAGUCCACUUCCUCUGAUCAACCGUGGUCGGUGCCUAUUGAGGCCUCCGCAGUCACCGCUACGGGCCCGAUGUUUCAGGCCCUCGAACGGAAGGACACUCUCAAUGGCCCAGAGCAUCUGAAUCGGCCGCUUCCUACCGGAGACCGCGACUUCCACAGGCCGAGCUGGGCAGAGAUUCAAUGCUGGCGACUUCGGCGAGAGAUCCCAGGCUCCGCGAUGUUAAAGUCAGCGCCGCCCAUGGCUGGAAAGUCAGCGCAUCCAGCGGCUGGAAGCUACGCAGACCACACCUCAGCAGACCACAGUCGGUUGUCCCAGCACUCCGGAACUGCAACACGGCGAUCCCAGUAAGGCAUCACUCGCUCCGCGGUGGAAUCCAUGCUGCGCCGCCGCUGCUGAAGCUGAGGCUCUGGCCGAUCUCUGGCAGGAAAGGAUGCCCCAACCCAGAUUAAAGAUGCAGUGUGGUAUCAGGGCCUUUAGCCCACCAAGUCCAUGCAGACUAUCAACCACCCAUACGCCAGUUCUAUGUUAUCCCACUUUCUCAUCCUACACACUAGGGGCAAUUUACAGAAUCUGAUCAUCCUACAAACCUGCACGUCCUUGGAAUGUGGGAGGAAACUGGAGCACCAAAGAUAACAAAUGCGGUCACAGGGAGAAUGUACAAACUCUGAUAGCAUCCGAGGUCAGGAUCGAACCUGGGUCUCUGGCGCUGUGAGGCAGCAACUCCGCCGCUGGGCCACCAUGCUGCUCCUACAACGCUCGCUCUUCAGCACUCUUUGUGGAACCACAAUAAUAACGCCACACAACAGGAUGAAUGGGAUCCUCCUGAAGGGUUGUGUGGUGAUCACAUUUACCAGUAUGGUCAUGCAAAGAUGCAUCUCUGACAAGUGGAUUUAUAAGGCUGAGUCAAGUUGAUUUAUCUUAUGUUGAUUUACUCAUAACCUGUCAGACACCUAGUCUGGCGGUGAUAUUUUGCAGGACUUGGCCAGUGGAAGUCCUAUCAAGCUUUUCCUUGUGAUGGAAGGUGAAGAACUCCUAACAUUUCUUGUCUUCCACACUAGGGACAUUGGAGCCUGACUAUUACAUGAAAAAUAAGCUCUGCAUAACCCAUUUUCUAGGCUAUUGCCUUUGUUAAAUUGAGAAGGAAUAAAUAAAUUGUCUUUCUCU